UUGAACGCUGGCGGCAGGCCUAACACAUGCAAGUCGAGCGGUAGAGAGGUGCCUGCAUCUCUUGAGAGCGGCGGACGGGUGAGUAAUGCCUAGGAAUCUGCCUGGUAGUGGGGGACAACGUUUCGAAAGGAACGCUAAUACCGCAUACGUCCUACGGGAGAAAGCAGGGGACCUUCGGGCCUUGCGCUAUCAGAUGAGCCUAGGUCGGAUUAGCUAGUAGGUGAGGUAAUGGCUCACCUAGGCGACGAUCCGUAACUGGUCUGAGAGGAUGAUCAGUCACACUGGAACUGAGACACGGUCCAGACUCCUACGGGAGGCAGCAGUGGGGAAUAUUGGACAAUGGGCGAAAGCCUGAUCCAGCCAUGCCGCGUGUGUGAAGAAGGUCUUCGGAUUGUAAAGCACUUUAAGUUGGGAGGAAGGGUAGUAACCUAAUACGUUGCUACUUUGACGUUACCGACAGAAUAAGCACCGGCUAACUUCGUG
rnacentral:rRNA from 1 species